rnacentral:rRNA from 1 species
GACGAACGCUGGCGGCGUGCUUAACACAUGCAAGUCGAACGGAAAGGCCCUGCUUUUGUGGGGUGCUCGAGUGGCGAACGGGUGAGUAACACGUGAGUAACCUGCCCUUGUCUUUGGGAUAACUUCAGGAAACUGGGGCGAAUACCGGAUAGGAGCUCCUGCUGCAUGGUGGGGGUUGGAAAGAUUCGGCGGUUGUGGAUGGACUCGCGGCUUAUCCGCUUGUUGGUGUGGUAGUGGCUUACCAAGGCUUUGACGGCUAGCCGGCCUGAGAGGGUGACCGGCCACAAGGGGACUGAGAGAGGGCGCAGACGGCUACGGGAGGCAGCAGGGGGGAAUAUUGCAGAAUGGGCGGAAGCGUGAUGCAGCAACGCCGCGUGCGGGAUGACGGCCUUCGGGUGGUAAACCGCUUUCGCCUGUGACGAAGCGUGAGUGACGGUAAUGGGUAAAGAAGCACCGGCUAACUACGUG